rnacentral:rRNA from 1 species
UGGGGAAUAUUGGACAAUGGGGGCAACCCUGAUCCAGCAAUGCCGCGUGUGUGAAGAAGGUCUUCGGAUUGUAAAGCACUUUCGACGGGGACGAUGAUGACGGUACCCGUAGAAGAAGCCCCGGCUAACUUCGUGCCAGCAGCCGCGGUAAUACGAAGGGGGCUAGCGUUGCUCGGAAUGACUGGGCGUAAAGGGCGUGUAGGCGGUUUACACAGUCAGAUGUGAAAUCCCCGGGCUUAACCUGGGAGCUGCAUUUGAUACGUGUAGACUAGAGUGUGAGAGAGGGUUGUGGAAUUCCCAGUGUAGAGGUGAAAUUCGUAGAUAUUGGGAAGAACACCGGUGGCGAAGGCGGCAACCUGGCUCAUGACUGACGCUGAGGCGCGAAAGCGUGGGGAGCAAACAGGAUUAGAUAC